UCAAAGCUCACAGUGGAGAGUCCCCUUGAA
rnacentral:piRNA from 1 species